UGGGAAGCUUCCAGAGCUGGAGGGCCCCUCAGGUCCUCAGGGUGGGGCCUCUGUGGGGAGUGAAGACGCUCCACUCUCACCGGGUCUAGAGCCUCUGCUGAGAGCGGCAGGGAAGGGCGGGCUGUGGUCGUUUGCGGAGUGGCAAGGUCCGGAACGGUCGCUGCUCACACAGGACGAGCGAGCUGGCCAGAGGAGCAUGGCGGCGCCGCCAGCGAGGCUGAGGCCGUCAGGUGUUUGCAGCGGAGCCCACCUGCCAGGUUCAGCGGCUCCCCCGCAGCCCUCUUCCCGUCCACCUGUUGUCACUUAGGUUCACUGUGGGAGACUGCAAGGGGCAUGAAGGUCCCUAAGCCGCCAGUUGGCACCAUCGCUGGGAAGAUUGGGACCACUUGGUGGCCCCCAGGUAUCGUCUUGCUUUCUGGAUGUCGGUGUCACCAGGGAGGGCCACACAAUAGCCAGCUGGCUGAGAAUGGACACUGGAAAAUAGAGCCUAGACAGAGAAAAGCACCUGCAGGUCUGACCGUGAGUGACGGGCUGCGAUGGUCCUGAGCCGGCGGAGAUGGAUGUCAGUGCUAGAGUCACACUGGAAGCCAGAUUCCGCAACUUGCUGCGUUGCUUUGAUGACUGGCUUUAGUUCUGCGUGUCCCAGUUUUCCCAGCUCACAAAUGGGGUUCGUGAGGGCGCCUGCUUCCUAGAGCGAGUGUGAAGAUGGAGCAAGGUGGCUCAGACGCACAGCUGAGGGCCACGUCUGCCCCAGCCACCACGCAACAAACGUUAGCUGCUAGCUUGUUUAUGUCCCGGCAUCAGUGACCGUGUCUCAGCCAGCCGGGGCUGCUGCCACAGACUGAGUGGCUUAAAUGAGAGACAUUUAUUACUCACAGUCUGGAGGCUGGAAGUCCAAGAUCAAGGUGCCAGCUGAUUUGGUUCCUGCUGAGAGCUGUCUUCCUUACUGCCUUCUUGUUGUGUCCUCACGUGGUGGAGUGGGGAGACCAUCUCCUCCAUGUCUGUCCUCAUCAGGGCACGAAGCCCAUUGCUGAGGACUCCCACAGAAUCCCCCCCCCAACACCAUCACACCGGGGCCACAAACAUUAGCGGACUGUGUAUGGCUGAUACGUGCUGCAUGCCCAUUUGUUAAAAGAUAGACACCAUGAUUUACUGUA